CGACAGCAAUAUGAAGGUCAGGCUGAAGACCUUACCCGAUUAGCUGAGAGGUGGUGCAUGGCCGUCGUCAGUUCGUACUGUGAAGCAUCCUGUUAAGUCAGGCAACGAGCGAGACCCACGUCCACAGUUGCCAGCAUACCCUCCGGGGUGAUGGGUACACUGUGGAGACCGCCGCUGCUAAAGCGGAGGAAGGAGUGGGCAACGGUAGGUCAGUAUGCCCCGAAUCUCCCGGGCUACACGCGGGCUACAAUGGUUGGUACAAUGGGCAUCUACCCCGAAAGGGGAAGGAAAUCUCUUAAAGCCAAUCGUAGUUCGGAUUGAGGGCUGCAACUCGCCCUCAUGAAGCUGGAAUCCGUAGUAAUCGCGUUCCAACAGAACGCGGUGAAUACGUCCCUGCUCCUU
rnacentral:rRNA from 1 species